GUUCACUCACCACUUGGACCACCAGGGAUGGAUGGCGGCAGGAUCCCCCCUCCCAGGCAUAAGGUAAGCAGGGAGGGGGGAUAUAAUCAGGGCACAGCAGGGCACAUAACACUCCCAGCACCCUCACACACACACACACUGCACCCUUGACACUCACAGCACCCUCACACACACACUGCACCCCUGACACUCACAGCACACACACACUGCACCCCUGACACUCACAGCACACACACACUGCACCCUUGACACUCACAGCACCCUCACACACACACACUGCACCCCCGACACGCACUGCACCCUCACUCACACACUACACAUCUGACACUCACAGCACACACAAAAUGCACCCCUAACACUCACAGCACCCUCACACACACACAUUGCACCCCUGACACGCACAGCACACAC